rnacentral:lncRNA from 1 species
UCUUAUAGUUUGAGCUCGAAAACUAGCCGUUACUCACAUUUCUGGGGAAUCCGGUCUGCCGUUUAUGGAAUCCGGUAAGCCGGAUUUUUGUGACCGUUAAGGCAAAAUUCAAAAUUUUGCCUAUCCGGUCUGCCGGAUUUGGAAUCCGGUAAGCCGGAUUCGAUCUGGGUGCAUUCUGCCCAGUUUCCGGUUUGCCGGAUUUGGAAUCCGGUAAGCCGGAUUCGCAAUGGAAGCUUGCUGCCCCGUAACCGGUUUUCCGGAUUUUGUAUCCGGUAAGCCGGAUAGCUACAGUACCUGCUACAGUUUCGCUACAGUGACAUUUUUCCGAAUUUUCAUUUUUGACCCCGAAACGUUAUAAAACUGUAGUAAGGCCCAGAAAGUUUGUAAACAUUUGCACAUAGGUCCUAAUUUCAGAAUUUUAAAUAAUGCUUUGUCAAGCCCAAAACUUUCUGAAAUUAUGAUUUCGCCUAGACUUUGUGAAAUUGUAGAAUGACCUAAAAACGUUUAAAUAAUUUCAAAUAGGUCCAAAUCCGAAAU